AGUGAGAUAACUGGGUCAAAUGGUGGUUCCAUUCCAAGUUUUCUGAGGAAUCUCCAUACUGCUUUCCAGAGGGAUUGUACCAAUUUGCAGUCCUACCAGUAAU
rnacentral:pre_miRNA from 1 species